rnacentral:rRNA from 1 species
UAUAAUGGGUCAGCGACUUAUAUUCUGUAGCAAGGUUAACCGUAUAGGGGAGCCGCAGGGAAACCGAGUCUUAACUGGGCGUUAAGUUGCAGGGUAUAGACCCGAAACCCGGUGAUCUAGCCAUGGGCAGGUUGAAGGUUGGGUAACACUAACUGGAGGACCGAACCGACUAAUGUUGAAAAAUUAGCGGAUGACUUGUGGCUGGGGGUGAAAGGCCAAUCAAACCGGGAGAUAGCUGGUUCUCCCCGAAAGCUAUUUAGGUAGCGCCUCGUGAACUCAUCUUCGGGGGUAGAGCACUGUUUCGGCUAGGGGGUCAUCCCGACUUACCAACCCGAUGCAAACUACGAAUACCGAAGAAUGUUAUCACGGGAGACACACGGCGGGUGCUAACGUCCGUCGUGAAGAGGGAAACAACCCAGACCGCCAGCUAAGGUCCCAAAGUCAUGGUUAAGUGGGAAACGAUGUGGGAAGGCACAGACAGCCAGGAUGUUGGCUUAGAAGCAGCCAUCAUUUAAAGAAAGCGUAAUAGCUCACUGGUCGAGUCGGCCUGCGCGGAAGAUGUAACGGGGCUAAACCAUGCACCGAAGCUGCGGCAGCGACACUAUGUGUUGU